rnacentral:tRNA from 1 species
AGCCUCGUAGUUCAGUGAACACAGGGUUGCAAACCUUGAGGCGUAGGUUGAAUCUACCGGGGCUU